UGGGGAAUUUUGGACAAUGGGCGAAAGCCUGAUCCAGCCAUGCCGCGUGAGUGAAGAAGGCCUUCGGGUUGUAAAGCUCUUUUAGUCGGAAAGAAAGAGUUGCAAUGAAUAAUUGUGAUUUAUGACGGUACCGACAGAAAAAGCACCGGCUAACUACGUGCCAGCAGCCGCGGUAAUACGUAGGGUGCGAGCGUUAAUCGGAAUUACUGGGCGUAAAGGGUGCGCAGGCGGUCUUGCAAGUCAGAUGUGAAAGCCCCGGGCUUAACCUGGGAAUUGCGUUUGAAACUACAAGACUAGAGUGCAGCAGAGGGGAGUGGAAUUCCAUGUGUAGCAGUGAAAUGCGUUGAGAUGUGGAAGAACACCGAUGGCGAAGGCAGCUCCCUGGGUUGACACUGACGCUCAUGCACGAAAGCGUGGGGAGCAAACA
rnacentral:rRNA from 1 species